rnacentral:rRNA from 1 species
UACGUAGGGGGCAAGCGUUGUCCGGAUUUAUUGGGCGUAAAGAGCGUGUAGGCGGCCAGGUAGGUCGGUUGUGAAAACUCGAGGCUCAACCUCGAGAUGUCGACCGAAACCAUCUGGCUAGAGUCCGGAAGAGGAGAAUGGAAUUCCCGGUGUAGCGGUGAAAUGCGCAGAUAUCGGGAAGAACACCCGUGGCGAAGGCGGUUCUCUGGGACGGUACUGACGCUGAGACGCGGAAGCGUGGGGAGCGAACAGG